GACAGGCACACUGCAGAGACAGGAUGAAUAUCUUAGACAGAUACCAUCUACCGAGCAAGUAGCAAGUAGUACAAGGCAAAGCUGGAAUUCAGG